CGGUCCCAGCCCCUGCAGGAGGAUCCAGGACGGACCCAGACACAAGAGCAGGACCGCGCCCGUGGCCGCUUCCGCAGGGCAGCACAGGCCUUUCUGAAAUUUGUGGGCAUUCGGCGUAGGAAGACCAGGGUCACACCAACCGAGGUCAUGGCACAGCCUGACCCCACGCCGAGUGAGCCUACGGCCGAGGCUGAUGGUGCAACCACCCAGGGCAUGGCAGGCACUGACAUC